rnacentral:rRNA from 10 species
GUCUGUAACCAUACCACCGUUGCUGUGCCUGAUCUCAGAAGCUAAGCAGAGUUGGGCCUGGUUAGUACUUGGAUGACUUUCACAUGAAAGUCUCAUCUCCUGCUUUCAAGAAACAGGAGAAAGGUC